CAUUACAAGUGACCCCGGUCUAACCACCGGGAUGUUCAUAACCCUUUGUUGUCCGACUCUGUUGCCUCCGGGGCGACCCUGCCUUCGGGCGGGGGCUCCGGGUGGACACUUCAAACUCUUGCGUAACUUUGCAGUCUGAGUAAACUUAAUUAAUAAAUUAAAACUUUUAACAACGGAUCUCUUGGUUCUGGCAUCGAUGAAGAACGCAGCGAAAUGCGAUAAGUAAUGUGAAUUGCAGAAUUCAGUGAAUCAUCGAAUCUUUGAACGCACAUUGCGCCCCCUGGUAUUCCGGGGGGCAUGCCUGUUCGAGCGUCAUUUCACCACUCAAGCCUCGCUUGGUAUUGGGCAACGCGGUCCGCCGCGUGCCUCAAAUCGACCGGCUGGGUCUUCUGUCCCCUAAGCGUUGUGGAAACUAUUCGCUAAAGGGUGUUCGGGAGGCUACGCCGUAAAACAACCCCAUUUCUAAGGUUGAC
rnacentral:rRNA from 1 species